rnacentral:misc_RNA from 1 species
UCCGGUUUGUCACCGGCAGUCUCGCAUGAGUCCCCAACUAAAUGCUGGCAACAUGCGACGGGGGUUGCGCUCGUUGCGGGACUUAACCCAACAUCUCACGACACGAGCUGACGACAGCCAUGCAACAUCUGUCUAUCCGUCCCGAAGGAGGGCCUGCUUUCACAGGCUUGCGAAUAGAUGUCAAGCCCAGGUAAGGUUCUUCGCGUCGCAUCGAAUUAAACCACACGCUCCGCUGCUUGUGCGGGUCCCCGUCAAUUCCUUUGAGUUUUAGUCUUGCGACCGUACUCCCCAGGCGGGCCACUUAAUGCGUUAGCUUCGGCACGGAAGGGGUCAACACCCCCCAUACCUAGUGGCCAUCGUUUACUGCUAGGACUA